AGUGAACGCUGGCGGCGUGCCUAAUACAUGCAAGUCGAACGAAGUGGCGCACGGGUGAGUAAUAUAUAGUUAAUCUUCCCUCCACAGAGGAACAACAGUUGGAAACGACUGCUAAUACCUCAUAGUGUCGGAUGAGACUAUAUUGUAUCAGCUAGUUGGUAAGGUAAUGGCUUACCAAGGCUAUGACGCGUAACUGGUCUGAGAGGAUGAUCAGUCACAUUUGAACUGAGACACGGUCCAAACUCCUACGAGAGGCAGCAGUAAGGAAUAGUGCGCAAUGGGGGAAAACCUGAAGCAGCAUCGCCGCGUAGAGGAUGACACUUGUCGGAGCGUAAACUCCUUUUAUCAGGAAAGCGGUACCUGAUGAAUAAGCACCGGCUAACUCCGUGCCAGCAGCCGCGGUAAUUC
rnacentral:rRNA from 1 species